CGGUGUAUCGCGAAAACCGGUUCACCGCGACAACGACGCGACGGCUGCCGAAACCUUAAUUUUCGGCGGCGUCGGUGGACUCUCGGACCGGGCCUAAAACGGGCCCAACACAACUCAGCAAGGCUGAGUUUAGGUCUUGGGCUUCUGCAGGCUGCUGGUCGCGGGCUUGGGCCUUCUUCUUGGGCCCAAAAUAGGCUGCUAAAACCAAUUGAACUUGCUGGAAUUGGGCCUUGCUGAAUUGGGCUGAAGACCCAAUUAAUUAGACUGUUCUCUUGGGCUACUGAUGGACUUCAAAUGGGCUGGCUUUACGUGAAGAUGGGUUGCAGAAGAAUGGUAACUUGCUGGGCCGUUGAUAUGGGCUGAGCCACGGUGAUGUUGGGCCUGACUCGGUGAAGAUCAACGAUGAAGGAGCAGCUGCUUCAUGAGGCUUCG
rnacentral:lncRNA from 1 species